rnacentral:rRNA from 1 species
UACGUAGGGUGCGAGCGUUGUCCGGAAUUAUUGGGCGUAAAGAGCUCGUAGGCGGUGUGUCACGUCGGCCGUGAAAACCUGCAGCUUAACUGUGGGCGUGCGGUCGAUACGGGCAUCACUGGAGUUCGGCAGGGGAGACUGGAAUUCCUGGUGUAGCGGUGGAAUGCGCAGAUAUCAGGAGGAACACCAAUGGCGAAGGCAGAUCUCUGGGCCGUAACUGACGCUGGAGGAGCGAAAGCGUGGGGAGCGAACAGG